AGAUCAGGAAAACUGAUAGAGCAUUUCCUCACAUUCCCCAAACCUCUCUAUUGAAUUCAGUAUAACAUUAUUAUACUGACAGCCUUACAGAAAUAAGAAGAUAAGGCUACUGAAACAGCUAUGCCACAGUGUAUUUAAUAGCAACGGAGGAUGGCGGAUGAGUGAGAAGCUGUGUGGUACUUAGCUGCCACCUGGGGCUAAACCAUGACGGUGUCAUCACACAGAAGGAUCUGCUGGAACAUGCCCAACAUGUGUCCUAACAAGACUACAGACUACAAAAGGGGAUCAUCAUGGAUAUAAUUUCCAAUACCAUUUGUCUCCUUCUCAGAGCUUGUCAAUGACAUUAUUCUCAUAUAAUUUAAACAAAUAUUUCGAUAUUGGCUUUUAAACCAGCUGUAGCAUGCUAAUUAA